rnacentral:rRNA from 1 species
AUGGGGCGGCAUGUGUCCUCGGCUUCCCUUGGUGACAAGGAUGUUGACAAUGAGGAAGAGGAGGAGUUGGCCCCAUUGACGCCACCGGCUGCCAAAAGCUAUGUCCCGGCAGCUCAGCGUACUGAUCAGUGUGUGAUGCACGAGAGAGAGGCGAGUGGAGGAUGGCAAGAUGUGCUGCCUCGGCGUGGUCGGCGCUGUCUGGAGUCGCCAGCUCCGGCAUUGCCCCCUCGUCCCAUUCUGGCUUGGCUCUUUGGUAGGUGUUGCAGAUGUCUUUCUCCUGGUCAUCGAGUGGCUGAUUUCAGAGAUCCCUUGAGGUGCUCCCGCUGCUUUGGAGAACGGCCACUGGCGCGUGGGUGUCGCCAUGCUUGGCGUCCAUUCAGCUCACUUGCAUGCCUUGCCAUGCCGCCACGGUCUCGCCUCGACACCGAGCAUUACCGAGCUCCAACUCCUUGUGAUGGUCCGAUGGUAUCCCAGCUCCCCUCCAAGGUGCUUCACCGAAGGUCCUGGGCAUCGGUCGUUUCCGCUCACGCUGAGUCGGCAACCCAAUCUGAAGUACUUCUCCAGUCCACUCUAGCAGCCCAGGCUAAGCUCCUGGUGCGCGUUGGGAGCUUUCUGGAGCGAGCAGAGGCUGCUCUGGGAAAGCUCUCUCUUGUGCCGGCUGUGUUGCAAUCCGCUCCUACGUCACAUCCUUGUAGUGAGGUUGAUGUUGGCGGCUCAAUGGAGAACAGGGUUGAGGAGCUCUAUGGUUGUUUCUCCCCUAGAGCUAUGGACAACUCAUCAUCGCCGUCUGCCUUGCCCAUUGUGAUGUCUACCGCUGAGGGCGGGACCAUUCCCGUGGUUGUGCCUCCGGUGUUGCAGGUGAUGCCCGAGCUUCAAGUGUUAUGUGCGAGCUCUGAUUCACCUCUAUCAAUGGAGCAUAUGAUGGUGGACACGCAGGCAACCACGUGUGAGGGACAUGAUUCAACCUUGACAUGUGAGUCGAGUGAGGUGAACUCGCCUGCGCGCUCACAUGUGGCUUCUGCACCCAUUCCACCCCCACCGACGGAUAAUUCCAAUGCUCUCUUUGCAAAAGAGCUUUGUGACUUGCUCGCUAGCGUGGAGGCUAUUAGCCCUGGAACUGGAAGGGCGAUUGCUUGCCUCCUGACGGGAACGACAUUCAAGGGCAAAUACAAGGUGAGUGAUUGCCCUCGGACUGGUAUAGUGAAGGAGAAGUCACUAAGGUGCAAAGGCAAAAAGAGUGGCGCCAUAGGUAAGAUGCCCGCAACUGCUUAA